rnacentral:rRNA from 1 species
GAUGAACGCUGGCGGCGUGCCUAAUACAUGCAAGUCGAGCGAACAGAUGAGGAGCUUGCUCCUCUGACGUUAGCGGCGGACGGGUGAGUAACACGUGGAUAACCUACCUAUAAGACUGGGAUAACUUCGGGAAACCGGAGCUAAUACCGGAUAAUAUAUUGAACCGCAGGGUUCAAUAGUGAAAGACGGUUUUGCUGUCACUUAUAGAUGGAUCCGCGCCGCAUUAGCUAGUUGGUAAGGUAACGGCUUACCAAGGAAACGAUGCGUAGCCGACCUGAGAGGGUGAUCCGCCACACUGGAACUGAGACACGGUCCAGACUCCUACGGGAGGCAGCAGUAGGGAAUCUUCCGCAAUGGGCGAAAGCCUGACGGAGCAACGCCGCGUGAGUGAUGAAGGUCUUCGGAUCGUAAAACUCUGUUAUUAGGGAAGAACAAAUGUGUAAGUAACUAUGCACGUCUUGACGGUACCUAAUCAGAAAGCCACGGCUAACUACGUG